rnacentral:rRNA from 1 species
GGGGAAUAUUGGACAAUGGGCGAAAGCCUGAUCCAGCCAUGCCGCGUGAGUGAUGAAGGCCCUAGGGUUGUAAAGCUCUUUCACCGGUGAAGAUAAUGACGGUAACCGGAGAAGAAGCCCCGGCUAACUUCGUGCCAGCAGCCGCGGUAAUACGAAGGGGGCUAGCGUUGUUCGGAAUUACUGGGCGUAAAGCGCACGUAGGCGGAUUGUUAAGUGAGGGGUGAAAUCCCAGGGCUCAACCCUGGAACUGCCUUUCAUACUGGCAAUCUCGAGUCCGAGAGAGGUGAGUGGAAUUCCGAGUGUAGAGGUGAAAUUCGUAGAUAUUCGGAGGAACACCAGUGGCGAAGGCGGCUCACUGGCUCGGUACUGACGCUGAGGUGCGAAAGCGUGGGGAGCAAAC